rnacentral:rRNA from 1 species
GACGAACGCUGGCGGCGUGCUUAACACAUGCCAGUCGAACGGAAAGGCCCUGCUUUUGUGGGGUGCUCGAGUGGCGAACGGGUGAGUAACACGUGAGUAACCUGCCCUUGACUUUGGGAUAACUUCAGGAAACUGGGGCUAAUACCGGAUAGGAGCUCCUGCUGCAUGGUGGGGGGUGGAAAGUUUCGGCGGUUGGGGAUGGACUCGCGGCUUAUCGGCCUGUUGGUGGGGUAGUGGCUUACCAAGGCUUUGAAGGGUAGCCGGCCUGGGAGGGUGAACGGCCACAUUGGGACUGAGAUACGGCCCAGACUCCUACGGGAGGCAGCAGUGGAGAAUAUUGCACAAUGGGCGGAAGCCUGAUGCAGCAACGCCGCGUGCGGGAUGACGGCCUUCGGGUUGUAAACCGCUUUCGCCUGUGACGAAGCGUGAGUGACGGUAAUGGGUAAAGAAGCACCGGCUAACUACGUG